CCCCAAUAGACCCCAGUGUUUAGUACUCCCCUUUCUGUGUCCAUGUGUUCUCAUUUUUCAUCACCCACCUAUGAGUGAGAACAUGCGGUGUUUCAUUUUCUGUUCUUGUGUCAGUUUGCUGAGAAUGAUGUUCUCCAGAUUCAUCCAUGUCCCUACAAACGACACGAACUCAUCAUUUCUGAUUGCUGCAUAAUAUUCCAUGGUGUAUAUGUGCCACAUUUUUCCAAUCCAGUCUAUUAUCAAUGGGCAUUUGGGUUGAUUCCAGGUCUUUGCUAUUGUAAACAGUGCUGCAAUGAACAUUCGUGUACAUGUGUCCUUAUAGUAGAACGAUUUAUAGUCUUUUGGAUAUAUACCCAGUAAUGGGAUUGCUGGGUCAAAUGGAAUUUCUAUUUCUAAGGCCUUGAGGAAUCGCCACACUGUCUUCCACAAUGGUUGAACUAAUUUACACUCCCACCAACAGUGUAAAAGUGUUCCUUUUUCUCCACAUCCUCUCCAGCAUCUGUUGUCUCCAGAUUUUUUAAUGAUCGCCAUUCUAACUGGCGUGAGAUGGUAUCUCAAUGUGGUUUUGAUUUGCAUCUCUCUGAUGACCAGUGACGAUGAGCAUUUUUUCAUAUGAUUGUUGGCCUCAUGGCAAAACAUCCAGGCCCCAAGGAACCCAUAUCCAUCCCUCGUUGAAAUCCUAGCACCAUCCAUUAACUCUGUGAUCUUGGGCAACUCUCUUCACCUCUCUGAGUUCCAGUUUAAUCUGUAAAACGGCAAUAACUGAUUAAAUAGCAUAGUAAUUCUAUAUAACUACUGAGGUUAUUGUGAAGGUUAAAUAUACUGUUGCAGGUAAAAGUGUUAAUACAUAUGUUAUUAGAAUUGUUAUUCAUAACAAUGUCCUAUUUUCCUGCAGACACCAUCUUAAAAUGAUCAUAAUAAAGCGCAAUGUACUGUCAUACUAAGAGGGUUCUUGAAGAAUGGAAUGAGUGAAUCUGUGCUGCCUAGCCGAGAGGCAGGAUCGGGUUUUCGAUGUGCUCUGAAUACCUGGGAACACUCUCCAUGGCAUUGCUUCGUUGGAAAAUCUUCUUUGAAAAGGCAACAAACUCCACCUGGAAGAACAGGUAAGUAAGUAACUAACUUAACAACUAUUUUGUGCCUUACCCUUUUAUAAAAGCCAUCCACGUACCAUUUAAUGUUCACAGAACACUUACGAAGACUCCAGGAGAGAUUUGAUGAUGCCCAUUUUACAGACAAGGAAACAAGCUCAGAUAAAUAGUUCCCCCCAAAGCCCACAGUUCCUAGUUGUAGAGCAAAGACUCAGUUCCCUUUUCUUCUGGGGAUAAAUCAUGUGUAUUUUCUGCCACAGACAGGGUCCUAAGGAAGACCAAUUUCUUUCCAUCAGGACGGGGUAUGGUUCUUGAAUCCAACACCUGAUUUCUUAUUGCAGAGGUUCCUAAGGGCUGGGUCUUUAGCGCUGAUGAAAGUCAGAUUCCAGCCGCCAGCCGUAGGAGAUACCUGCAGGCGUUCCAGCCAACCCAGAGACCUAGAAAGAAAACCCAAGCAUUCCUAACCUUUAAAAAGAUCUUAGCCUGUGGACAGAUAAAUUAACUCCAGGGCUCUGGGGAGAUUAAACCUUAUUUUAUGGUUUGCUUGUUAAAAACGCAUAACUCCAAAUCUCACCAGAGAUUGCAAUUAAGAUAGCACAGGGCUAAAGCUAUAUGAGAAGUAUUAUUUACUCCCGGUUCCCUGCAAAGUCCAAAACGACAAUGGGCUUUUCCAUUUCAUAACCCGCAGUCGAGCUGAAGCCACCUGCCUUUGUACCUAAAAUGCUUUAGGACACGUGCUUCUCUCCCAGCGCAGCUGCUACCACAGUUCUGUUAUCCUUUGUGGUUGCCCAAAGUAGCCAUAAAAACCCAAAGUUAAAACAAAGUUUCCUGGGCGUUAAUGUUCAAGAGACACCAAGAACAUUUUUUACCAUCUGCUUCUCUGCUGUUCUCACCUGAGGGGCCCUUUUUCUGUGUUCUCCUUUGAAUGCCUGACAUGUACGAGCCCCAGAUAGCUCCCUAAUUUCUAGCAAAGUCCCGGGAAAAGCCAGAUCACCCCAGAG
ensembl:lncRNA